CCUACGGGGGGCUGCAGUGAGGAAUAUUGGUCAAUGGGCGCGAGCCUGAACCAGCCAAGUAGCGUGAAGGAUGACUGCCCUACGGGUUGUAAACUUCUUUUAUAAAGGAAUAAAGUGAGGCACGUGUGCCUUUUUGUAUGUACUUUAUGAAUAAGGAUCGGCUAACUCCGUGCCAGCAGCCGCGGUAAUACGGAGGAUCCGAGCGUUAUCCGGAUUUAUUGGGUUUAAAGGGAGCGUAGAUGGGUUGUUAAGUCAGUUGUGAAAGUUUGCGGCUCAACCGUAAAAUUGCAAUUGAUACUGGCAGUCUUGAGUACAGUUGAGGUAGGCGGAAUUCGUGGUGUAGCGGUGAAAUGCUUAGAUAUCACGAAGAACGCCGAUUGCGAAGGCAGCUUACUAAACUGCGACUGACAUUGAUGCGCGAAAGUGUGGGGAGCAAACAGGAUUAGAUACCCCAGUAGUC
rnacentral:rRNA from 1 species